GUGGGGAAUAUUGGACAAUGGGCGAAAGCCUGAUCCAGCCAUGCCGCGUGUGUGAAGAAGGUCUUCGGAUUGUAAAGCACUUUAAGUUGGGAGGAAGGGCAGUAAGUUAAUACCUUGCUGUUUUGACGUUACCGACAGAAUAAGCACCGGCUAACUUCGUGCCAGCAGCCGCGGUAAUACGAAGGGUGCAAGCGUUAAUCGGAAUUACUGGGCGUAAAGCGCGCGUAGGUGGUUUUGUAAGUUGGAGGUGAAAUCCCCGGGCUCAACCUGGGAACUGCCUCCAAAACUGCAUGACUAGAGUACGGUAGAGGGUAGUGGAAUUUCCUGUGUAGCGGUGAAAUGCGUAGAUAUAGGAAGGAACACCAGUGGCGAAGGCGACUACCUGGACUGAUACUGACACUGAGGUACGAAAGCGUGGGGAGCAAACAGGAUUAGAAACCCCAGUAGUCC
rnacentral:rRNA from 1 species